GUACUUUCCCUUCGGGGCAGGAGUGACAGGUGGUGCAUGGUUGUCGUCAGCUCGUGUCGUGAGAUGUUGGGUUAAGUCCCGCAACGAGCGCAACCCCUGUCCUUAGUAGCCAGCAGUAAGAUGGGCACUCUAGGGAGACUGCCAGGGAUAACCUGGAGGAAGGCGGGGAUGACGUCAAAUCAUCAUGCCCCUUAUGACUUGGGCUACACACGUGCUACAAUGGCGUAAACAAAGGGAAGCAAUCCCGUGAGGGGGAGCAAAUCCCAAAAAUAACGUCUCAGUUCGGACUGUAGUCUGCAACCCGACUACACGAAGCUGGAAUCGCUAGUAAUCGCGAAUCAGAAUGUCGCGGUGAAUACGUUCCCGGGUCUUGUACACACCGA
rnacentral:rRNA from 1 species